rnacentral:rRNA from 1 species
GGUUUCUGCUGGCGGAAACCCUUGGUUGAAUCUUAUCAAAUUAUUGACCUCGGAUCAGGUGAGGAUACCCGCUGAAUUUAAGCAUAUUAAUAAGCGGAGGAAAAGAAACCAACAGGGAUUGCCUUAGUAGCGGCGAGUGACGG